UACGUAGGUCCCGAGCGUUGUCCGGAUUUAUUGGGCGUAAAGCGAGCGCAGGUGGUUUAUUAAGUCUGGUGUAAAAGGCAGUGGCUCAACCAUUGUAUGCAUUGGAAACUGGUAGACUUGAGUGCAGGAGAGGAGAGUGGAAUUCCAAGUGUAGCGGUGAAAUGCGUAGAUAUAUGGAGGAACACCGGUGGCGAAAGCGGCUCUCUGGUCUGUAACUGACGCUGAGGUUCGAAAGCGUGGGUAGCAAACAGG
rnacentral:rRNA from 1 species